rfam:Brachypodium distachyon strain Bd21 chromosome 2, whole genome shotgun sequence.
CAAUUACUCCCUCCGUUCCAUAAUUCUUGUCCAAAUAUUACAUGUAUCUAGACGCUUUUAAGGAAGAGAUGCAUCCAUUUUUUGGCAAAUUUGAGACAAGAAUUAUGGAAUGGAGGGAGUAAUAA